AGAUCUGAUGGCUAUAUAAGGGGGAGUUUCCUGCACCCUGAGCAAGCGUUCUCGUGGCCGGGGAAGCCUCGUCAUCGUGACAGAAGGAAAGGAGGCGCAAGCCACAUCGCCAGCCACGUGGAGCUCCUCAAAUAUUCCUUUACAGCAACACACAACGAACUAAGACAGGUGAAAAGUAGAGACGGGAUUUCACCCCGUUGGGCAGGCUGAUCUCGGACUCCUGACCUCAGAUGAUCCACCAGUCUAGGCCUCCCAAAGAGUUUGGGGUUACAGGCAUGAGCCACCGCGAUGGGUGGGAUGUCCAGUUUCCAGACCAGCCCUGCACUCGCCCCUGGUCUCAGGGCCCCUCUCAGCUCCCUGGAGCCAAAGCCACUGUCCCAGGGGGCGGGCCUAGUGGGUCUAGUUCGGACCGGUUUGGUUUCUGCUAAGAGGCCCCCACCAGCUCUUUGAUUAGCAGCCAAAACAUGCUCCUUUCCAAGUCAAAAAUAAAAUAAAAUAAAGCAUGUUACAAAGUGACUCUCUUCUCCGAUUCAUUUUAAUGUGGUUUUCAGCAUGGUUUAUUGUGAGCGGCUCUCUGUGCAGAAAACAUGUGCUUGCAAUAUGCCAGCGACGGGUGGGAUUCCAGGGGGCCCCCGGGCCGCCCGCGCUGCCAACCAGGAUGGUCAGGAAGUUAAAGGCAUGUCUUUGAGGAGCAGGUAAUUAGUGACUCUCAAAUAUUUGUCUGAAAGGAUCUCAAUGGGUGUGAUUUCACCCAGAGUCCAUUCCCUCCACUGACCCCAUUCGGGCAGAGGGAAAGGACAGAAGGAGAAUUCAUGGGCUGUGGUGUGAGGACAGGUUCCAGCUUAGAGUGUGGUUUCUCCUGUUCUAGGGUCCUCAAAGGUGUUACGAGGUGGGAGGGACCAGAAGACUCGGGAUCUAGCCUGUAACAGCACUGUGCCGUCUUAGGCAAGUGUCUGUCCAUCUCUGGGCUGCUGGGCCUCAAUUUUCCCAUCUGUAAGAGAAGGCAGCCAUGAUAGUACUGAGUGUCAACUUGAAUGGACCGAAGGAUGCAAAGUGUUGACCCUGGGUGUGGCCGUGAGGGUGUUGCCAAGGGAGAGGAACUGAGAGUCAGUGGGCUGGGAAGGCAGACCCACCCUCAGUCUGGGUGGGCACCAGCUUAUCAGCUGCCGGUGAGGCCAGAACAGAGAACAGGCAGAAGAACGUGAGAAGACGAGCCUGGCCCAGCCUCCCAGCCUACACCCUUCCCCUGUGCUGGCUGCUUCCUGCCCUCAAACCUCAGACUCAAGCUCUUCACCUUUGGACUCAGACUGGCUUCCUUCUCCUCAGCUUGCAGAUGGCCCAUUGUGGGACCUUGUGAUCGUGUGAGCUACUCCUCCUCAACAAACUUCCCUUUCUGUAAAAAACAAUUAUACACAUACUCAUGCACACACAAAUACAAAGUGAGUUCGCAGUCAUGUACACACGGAGUGAUCACACACACUCAUGCACACACCUAGGCACACACGCACCCAUCACACUCAUACACAUUCACGCACACUCACCGCUCUGAAACAGGAAGUGGCCGGCAUGCG